GCUGGCGGCGUGCCUAACACAUGCAAGUCGAACGAGAAAGAGAUCUUCGGAUCUUGAGUAGAGUGGCGCACGGGUGAGUAACACGUGGAUAACCUGCCCUAUGAUCUGGGAUAACAUUUCGAAAGAGGUGCUAAUACCGGAUAAGCCCACACAAUCUUCGGAGCGAGUGGGAAAAGAUUUAUCGUCAUAGGAUGGGUCCGCGGUCCAUUAGCUAGUUGGUGGGGUAACGGCCUACCAAGGCCACGAUGGAUAGCUGGUCUGAGAGGAUGAUCAGCCACACUGGAACUGAGACACGGUCCAGACUCCUACGGGAGGCAGCAGUGGGGAAUUUUGCGCAAUGGGGGAAACCCUGACGCAGCAACGCCGCGUGAAGGAUGAAGGCCUUUGGGUCGUAAACUUCUGUCAGUGGGGAAGAAAUGCCCGUAAGGGAGAUGACGGUACCCGCAAAGGAAGCACCGGCUAACUCCGUGCCAGCAGCCGCGGUAAUAC
rnacentral:rRNA from 1 species